rnacentral:rRNA from 1 species
UUACACUUAAAAGGAGCAGGUAUCAGGCACGACCUGUCAGCCCAAAACGCCUUGCUACGCCACACCCACAUGGGUACUCAGCAGUAAUUGAUAUUAAGCAAUGAGUAAAAGCCACCUUAAGCUCGACUUAGUUAUGAUCACUAGGGCCGGUUAACCUCGUGCCAGCCACCGCGGUUAUACGAAGGGCCCAAAACAGCAGACACCGGCGUAAAUUGUGACUAGAGACACCACCUUAAACAGGAAGAAAUAAACCACACCCUAACCGUAAAACAUAGGCUAAAUGAAACCCUCCACUCUUCUUACACAAGGUUGCUUGAACCCACGAAAACUAAGAAACAAACUAGGAUUAGACACCCUACUAUGCUUAGACGUAAACAAGACACUACACAACUAAAGUGUCCGCCAGAGAAUUACAAGCGAAAAGCUUAAAACUCAAAGGACUUGGCGGUGCUCCGUACUCAACUUAGAGGAGCCUGUCCUAUAAUCGAUACUCCACGAUAAACCCUACCAUCUUUUGCCAACCCAGCCUAUAUACCGCCGUCGAAAACUUACCCCCUGAGGGAUAAAAAGUAAGUAAAAUAGUUAAUCACUAACACGUCAGGUCAAGGUGUAGCUUACAAGAUGGCAGAGAUGGGGUACAUUUUUUAACAAGAACACACGGCAAUGGGCCAUGAAAUACCCCCACGAAGGCGGAUUUAACAGUAAGAUAAUUAAGAAAAAU